rnacentral:rRNA from 1 species
UACGUAGGGUGCAAGCGUUGUCCGGAAUUAUUGGGCGUAAAGAGCUCGUAGGCGGCUUGUCACGUCGCUGUGAAAACCUGGGGCUCAACCCCGGGCCUGCAGCCGAUACGGGCAAGCUAGAAUUCGGUAGGGGAGAGUGGAAUUCCCGGUGUAGCGGUGAAAUGCGCAGAUAUCGGGAAGAACACCCGUGGCGAAGGCGGCUCUCUGGGACGGUACUGACGCUGAGACGCGAAAAGCGUGGGGAGCGAACAGG